rnacentral:rRNA from 1 species
AACGAACGCUGGCGGCAUGCCUAACACAUGCAAGUCGAACGAGACCUUCGGGUCUAGUGGCGCACGGGUGCGUAACGCGUGGAACCUGCCCCUAGGUUCGGAAUAACUCCCCGGAAGGGGUGCCAAAAACGGAUAAUGUCCUUGGACCAAAGAUUUAUCGCCUUUGGAUGGGCCCGCGUUGGAUUAGCUAGUUGGUAGGGUAAAAGCCUACCAAGGCGACGAUCCAUAGCUGGUCUGAGAGGAUGAUCAGCCACACUGGGACUGAGACACGGCCCAGACUCCUACGGGAGGCAGCAGUGGGGAAUAUUGGACAAUGGGCGAAAGCCUGAUCCAGCAAUGCCGCGUGAGUGAUGAAGGCCUUAGGGUUGUAAAGCUCUUUUACCCGGGAUGAUAAUGACAGUACCGGGAGAAUAAGCUCCGGCUAACUCCGUG